GCAGAACCUGUAGUUGGAAAGGGGACUGAGUGACUACUGGACUUUGUAUGAAAACACCAACUUGGGACAGACCUUCAGUCAAGGCUGAGACAGGGGUCCGGUGGGGUCUUUAAAGAGCUUUGCCUUUAACUUGGAUGAUGAUUGGCUCACGGGGUAGAGCAAGAGAUAGAGAAGAGGCUGAGGAUAGCCUGAAAGCUCAAAUCAGUGGCCCUGACAAUGCUAGAAUGAAGACUCAGCCCAAGGCAGUGGUUGAGGCAGAACCAAAAGCAGAAUUAGUAACCCAGGCCAAAGCUCGUGAUGGAGCAAUAGCCAGGACACAAACAGUGACCUACACUGAGCCUGUGGCUGUGACAAGGGAAGCAAGCAAAACGAAAGAUAUGACUAAUACUAGUCUCACAGCUGAGACUAAGGCAGAACUCCUGGCAGAACCUGGUAUAGUGCCUCAAACCAAGUCAAAAGCCACCCCUGUUUUUAGGGUUAGUUUGGUAACUAAAUCUGAGGUAAAGGAUUGUGCAGGCAGUGAGGCAAACAUCAAGUCUUCUGCCAAGGCUGAUAAGGCCAAUAUUGGGUCUAGGCCUGAGAUAAAGGAAGAGACCAGCAACAAGUCCAGGGCUGGGAACAAAGCUGGUAUUGGGAUCAAGUUCACUGAUGAGGAUGAAGAAAAUGUCUGCUCCUGGUUCUGGAAUGGAGAAGAGCCUAGUGUAGGAUCUUGGUUCUGGCCUAAAGAAGAGACCCCUCCUCAAGUUUAUAAACCCCCACCUAAGAUACAGGAAGAGCCCAAGCCCACAUACAGCCCCAAACUUACUACAAAACAAAAAGCAAAAGCCUGGUUAAGGGCCAGGUAUAUUGUCCUAGUCCCAGUUGAGGGAGGGGAACCAACAUUGCCUCCAGAAGGCAACUGGACCUUGGUUGCAACCUUGAUUGAAACUCCUCUGGGAAUUCGGCCUCUGACCAAGAUUCCACCUUAUAAUGGGCCUUACUUCCAGACCUUAGCUGAGAUCAAAAAACAGAUAAGGCAGAGGGAAAAAUAUGGGCCUAAUCCAAAGGCCUGCCGCUGCAAAUCACGUACCUUUAGUUUAGAGCCUAAAGAAUUUGAUAAACUUGUUGACCUACUUAAGUUAACUAAGGAUCCUUUCAUUCAUGAAAUAGCUACUAUGGUAAUGGGUAUCAGUCCUGCUUACCCAUUUACUCAAGAUAUAAUUCAUGAUGUUGGUAUUACUGUUAUGAUUGAAAACUUGGUCAAUAAUCCCAAUGUUAAAGAACACCCUAAAGCUUUAAAUAUGGUAAAUGAAAGCUCUGAGUCUUCUGAAGAACCAAAAAUGGAAGAAUCAUAUAUACAUCAAAUUUGUAAGGACAUAAUCUGUUAUCCUUUGAAUUCCCCUGUGCAACUGGCUGGACUGAAAUUAUUGGUGCAAUUGAGUGUGAAAUUUGAGAAUCAUCACAUGAUUGCCAGUUAUAUUCUAGAGUUCCUCACAUUAUUGAACAAAGGAAGUGUCAAAACCAAGUUUUAUGCUUUAAAAGUGUUUUUGUGCUUGUCUAAAAAUCAAGCCAAUACAAGAGAACUGAUAAGUGCCGAAGUACUAUCAUCACUGGUUGCGCUCUUUAACAAGAAUGAGUCAAAGGCCAAUGUUCUUUGUAUCAUUGAAAUAUUUGAGAAUAUAAAUUUCCAAUUCAAAAAAAGGGCAAAGCUGUUUACUAAGGAAAAGUUCACUAAAUCUGAACUUAUUUCCAUAUUCCAGGAAGCAAAAGGGUUUGGUCAGAAACUCCAAGACUUAGCAGAGCACAGUGAUCCUGAGAGCUCCCCUAGCCUAUAAUACCAGCUGUGGUGGGCACUGCUUUCAGUAUUGGAGAUCUUCACAAUACAAAUGGACCAGACUCUUUGGAAAUAUUCUGUGUCUCAAGUGCCCUGUGAAGCACACACUUAAUCAGUUGAUGGCUAUGGAAUUUUCCAAUAUCAGCUAAAGAGAAGGACAUUGGCAUCCUGGCGAGGAGACAGCGAGCUGGCGGGAGCUGCUCCCUGAGAGGGGUGUGUGGAGCUUGGGGACCCCUGGUGAGGAAGCGGCGGUGACAGGUUGGGGCAGGGGGCAGGGUGACCAUAGAGCCUCCAGCAGAGCUUCCAGAGGCCAACUGCACCAUCUGCUUUUCUGCCUACGUUCUUGGCGCCCGUGCUGCCCUCGACAGUGUUUUUGCCCGGUGAGA